AGGUCAGUAGGUUGGUCGUGCCACCGGUACGUACUGGUCUUACUGAUUCCUCCUUCCUGAAGAACCGUAAUGCCAUUAAUUUGGUGUUGCGGGGAAACAGGACUGUUACUUUGAAAAAAUUAGAGUGUUUAAAGCAAGCUAACGCUUGAAUACAUUAGCAUGGAAUAAUGAAAUAGGACGAUCGAUCCUAUUUUGUUGGUUUCUAGGAUUGACGUA
rnacentral:rRNA from 1 species